rnacentral:rRNA from 1 species
CUUUCAAAUCUGCCUGGAGGAGCUUGCUAUUAAACCGAUAACCCACGGAAGACCUCACCAAUUUUAGCAACACCAGCUUGUAUACCAUCGUCGUCAGUCUACCUCUCAAGAGAAGUAAGCCCAAGGAUAUUCCUUCUUCUCAACGUCAGAUCGAGGUGCAGCUUAUAAAUUGGGAAUCAGUGAGCUACAAUAAAUUAUACAUUUCAAAAGCAUAUUUGAAUUAUCAUGUGAAAAACAGAUAUGAAAAAGGAUUCAGAAGUAACACUUAACAGAGAAUAAGUGUGAACACAGCUAAGCUCUGAAAUGCGU